AAGAAUUUUAAAUGUGGGGAAAUAAUCAAGCUAGUAGGUGAAGAGAGGAAGUUAUAAAACAGCAUGACUCUCAUUUUAUACAUUGUCUCUAUAAAUAUGCAUAAUAUCUGCUGUGCAGCGUGCUGAACUGUGAGGCUAACAGAAGGAUCUGAUUAAGAAGGAGAAGUGGAAAAUCCCCAAGAAGAGGGGAUGAUAAGAAGUACAAGAUUUCGAAAAUUGAGAGAAGGGAGGAUGCUAAAAUCCAGUCACUCAAGCACUUCCUCCUCCAGGAAAUCACUCAUGAAAAUAUCCACACAACAAUCCCCAAGUCUGUCUUCUGCACUCAUGUAGAUCAAGGUGGUGUGAGGUGUCUUGUCAGUGAGGGAAGGUGAGAUUGAUUGUGGUGAAUCAUUGUACAGCUCCAUCAUCAUGGAAGGAAAAGGGCUGUGAAGGCCUGUGUGCUUAAAGGCAGGAGGUGCCACCAAGUGUGAGCUGAUCCCUUGGUAUGCAUGCCUGCUUCCCUGCCUCCCCCUUUCUUCAUAGUGAUUUUUGCUUUACUUUUACUGUGCUCGGGCCUGAACCCAGAGUCUUAAGCAUGUUAGGCAAGCACUGUACUCCUGAGUUAUACUUUCAGCCUAGCAAUGUUGUUUUGGACCUAAUGAACUUGCUGCUGGACAGCACUUAGAGUGGUAGUACUUAGCCAAUAGUAAAAUAUUAAAUAUUUACCGAGCGAAUAAAUGAACAUUAGGCAAUAAAACUCAAUCUUUUUUCUUUUAAUUGGUGGAGCCAAGUCACCUAUCAUUUUGCACUUGGGAAUACUUUAAAAUUAUAAAAUAUGCUGGGUGUGUGGGCACAUGCCUUUAAAGCAUUCGGGAGGCUGUGGCAGGAGGAUCGAUGUAAAUUCAAUGCCAAUUUGGACUACAUAAGCAAGUUCAAAGUCAGCUUGCUGUACAGAGUGAGACUCUGUCUCAAAACAAAACAAAUAAACAAAAAAAUCCAAAGCAAAUAAGUAAGAUAAAGUCACAAAAUAAGAAAUAAGUACACAUUAAUUAUAGACAAAUACUUAGAAAAUAUGGUUGAUGAAAAAGAAAAAAAUAAUACUUUGGUACCAUCCUGCCGUCCAGCCAUAACCAGUGAUGUUGAUAAUUUGCUGUCUAGUUCCUUGUGGGGAUUCUGCUGAGCAAACCCACUUAAAUAUCAGCAGAAGGGCUGGGGAUAUAGCUCAGCAGUACAAGCACCUGCCUGGCAAGAGCAAGGUCCUGAGUUCAAUUUCCAGUAUAUCGGUAGAGGCAAAUCAUUUGGUAAUUUGCUUAAUUUUUCUUUUUACUUAAUGAUAGAUAAUUUUUCUACUUGUGUCACUGAAAAAAAUUCUUCUAAACAUUUUCCCAUAUAUUUAAGCAUAUAUAUAGUGAUUACUCUAUAUUGUUUUAAGUGUUUUAUGUGUAUUAACUAAUUAGAUUUCUAUUAACGGCUUAUGAAUUAGGUACUAUUGUAUCUAAAUUUUAUAAAUUGAGGCAUUUAAUCAUGAAAAGAGUAGAGUAAGUGACUUGUGUAAAGUCACACAACUAAAUGGCGGGACCUGAUUACAACCCAGUGAUACAACGCUUCACUUUUACACUGUGUAUCUCUAAGUGCUCAAAUAAAC